rnacentral:rRNA from 1 species
UACGUAGGGUGCGAGCGUUGUCCGGAAUUACUGGGCGUAAAGAGCUCGUAGGCGGUCUGUCGCGUCUGCUGUGAAAACUCAGGGCUUAACCCUGAGCUUGCAGUGGGUACGGGCAGACUAGAGUGCGGUAGGGGAGACUGGAAUUCCUGGUGUAGCGGUGAAAUGCGCAGAUAUCAGGAGGAACACCGGUGGCGAAGGCGGGUCUCUGGGCCGAUACUGACGCUGAGGAGCGAAAGCGUGGGGAGCGAACAGG